GAGAGAGAGAGAGAGAGAGAGAACGGCAGCAACUUUCAGAAAAGACAAAAGAGGGUGAAAGAGACAGUUUCAGCAGGUACAAUGGUGAGGUAAAGGCGAGCGUUUCUAAGUAACGAAUUUAUAGAGAGGAAAAGGAGAGGAGGUUGAGCAAUAGACGUUACUAAAUCACUGAUUUCGAUGCUGUCUCAGUCUCUCUCUGCAACUUGUCUCCGUCUUUGCUCAAACAAGCCAAAUGCUAGAGCGAGGUGAAGAAGGCUUUUCAUAUAAAAAAAAAAGGUUUGGUCAGGUCAGGUCUGGUCGGGUCGGUAAUUUUAACGCUGGGGUGUUGUGGAGGAUAUUGGGAGAU
rnacentral:misc_RNA from 1 species